rnacentral:rRNA from 1 species
GCAAGUCGAGCGGUAACAGAUCUAGCUUGCUAGAUGCUGACGAGCGGCGGACGGGUGAGUAACGCGUAAGAAUCUACCCAGAAGCGGGGGAUAGCCCAGAGAAAUUUGGAUUAAUACCGCAUACGCCCUUCGGGGGAAAGCAGGGGAUCGUCGGACCUUGUGUUAUUGGAUGAGCCUGCGUGAGAUUAGCUUGUUGGUGAGGUAAGAGCUCACCAAGGCGACGAUGUCUAGCUGGUCUGAGAGGAUGAUC